AGGUCAUUUCAGAAAGGCUGCAUGAGGCUAUGAUGCCAGAAACUCUAAAUACCAUGGCCAAAGAUGGGAGUUCUCCACAACAUGUCCUAGGUAGGCAGCAGAGAUGAUU
rnacentral:snoRNA from 14 species